rnacentral:rRNA from 1 species
UACGUAGGUGGCAAGCGUUGUCCGGAUUUACUGGGCGUAAAGAGCGCGCAGGCGGUCUUGUAAGUCGAAUGUGAAAGCCCCUGGCUCAACUGGGGAGGGUCAUUCGAUACUGCUCGACUCGAAGGCAGGAGAGGGAAGCGGAAUUCCUGGUGUAGCGGUGAAAUGCGCAGAUAUCAGGAGGAACACCGGUGGCGAAGGCGGGUCUCUGGGCCGAUACUGACGCUGAGGAGCGAAAGCGUGGGGAGCGAACAGG